GAUUCCCAAUGAAUGCAUUUUUAAAUAAAAAUUAAUACAACACCCAUUUUCUCAAUGACGCCCACAAGAAAACUGACCCCACUUCCUAUAUCAAGACAUAUAUUACUCCUACCAGUGUGAAGUCAUGGUAGCCAUAUGGACCACCAUCUUGGUUUUUUUAAUCAGCUAGUGUGCUACUAUCAUAUACCUACAUUUGUCUCCCGAUAGAGUGCAGUGGUGUCAAUAAACUGAUCCUCAAUACAAUAUCUUGCCGACCAACACACACAUACACACCAACACACACACAUACACACAUACACAUACACACUCACAGAGAGACACUACCACAGCAGACUAUGAUGUAAAAACCAAACAUGAAGCUUAGUGUAAAUGUAAGGAAACCUGUUCUUUUGCAACUUUUAAGUGCAGUUACCAUCGAGUCCUCUGUGGUUAUUGCAGUCGCUGCCACCCCGGUAUUUGCCGACGAUGGUAAACCAUCCAUCGAGGUCUGCAUUUACAUAUUCGUCGCUGCCGCCCAAUUUUUUUCUGAUGAUGGUAAAUGUUCCAUAGAGUUCUGUAUGGUCAUGCCAGUCGGGUCUCUGUUGUCGGUGGUACACCUUCCAUCGAGUUCUGCAUGGUCAUUGAUGUCGCUGCUACUCUAGGUCUCUGCAGAGUCCUUAAUCCAAUUCCCAAUGAAUGUACUUGUAAAUACAAAUGAAUACACUGCAUCUUUCAUAAACGACACCCACAAUCAGUCUGACCUUUUACUUUCUAUACAAAGACAUAUAUUACACUUACCAGUGUGAUGUCAUGGCAGCUAUAUGGACCACUAUCUUGAGACACACAUUUAACACAUUCACCAUUAUCAACGAACAUUCAACACACACUAACACUUACUAACAUCAGCAUAGUUUCAAACUGAACCAUAUCCUUCUAAUCAUAUCUGUAACACAAAUACACACUCCAUAACAGCCAUCGAUUCACAAUUUAACACACAUUCACAAUCACCUACACACACACACACACACACGAACGACAACAAAUUUACCAUCAAUUACAUACAAUUUCAACGCACAUUCGCCAUUAUUGACACACAAUUUUUUACACACCUUAAUGCUCAUCGACACACAUUUACAUUUUUGGUGUAUAAUUGGAAACACAUUUACCAUUAUCAUCAUUGACAUGUAAUUGCACACACACACAUUCAUCAUUAACACACAUUACACAUACCAUCAUCAAAACACGUUCACGCACUGUCACUCACUUCAAGCACUUGUGACAUAAAAUUCACUUAAUUCACUCAAUGCACUAAUUUAUUACACUCAGUUAACUGUUUUUCACACUCACUACACUUAAUUUACUCAUUUAUGACUCAUUUUACUCAUGACACUCAUGCAACACACCAGUCACCUAUUCAUAACAUUCACUUCACUCAUUUCAUGCACUCGCGACAUUUUAUUCACUUUUUAUCUUAUCAUUCACACAAUAUAUUUAAUCUUUUAUCAUUUCCUACUUAAUCCAGUCAAGCAGAGUAUCACACCGAACCUUCUCUCGAUGUACCUGCUGAUCGUGGACAAGCAGUGUGUUUUAAUGAUCUUUGUGUUAUCAAUUCUCUACAGACCUCAUUAAGGAUCAGCAGGUUACAUCGAGAGAAGGGUCGGUGAGAUAUACUGCUUGACUGGAUUAAGUCGGAGAUGGUAAGAGAGGAAAAAUACUUAGUGAAUUAUUAGAUAAAAGUGUCGCGAGUGCAUGGAAAGUAUGAAGUGGGUGUCAUGAAUAGAGUAAUGGUGUGUUAUGAGUUUAUCAUGAGUAUAUUAAGUGUCAUAAGUGAAUAGAGUGUAGUGAGUGUGUGAAAUUAGUAAAUUGCAUGUAUUGAGAGAGUUAUUGAGCACUGUGUGUAAAUUGAGUGUCAUGGGUGCAUAAAAUGAGUGAAUGGCGUGACAUUAGUGAGUGAAUGUGUCGACUUGUGUGAUGUCAAUAGUAAAUAAGUUUUUAUGGUGGUGAUUGUGCGACGAAUUGUGUGUCUGUGUGUGUCGAUGGUGAAUGUGUGUCGAUGAUGGUGUUUUACAAAUUGUGUUUCGUAUAAUGUUAUAUGUCGUUGUUUGUUGUUGGUGAAUAGGUUUACUAAAGACAGCAACUCAGAACACAGCAACACAGAAAUAAGCUAGUUACACUAUUAAGAUUUUAAAAUAUUACUGUGUUUACAAAUAUAUUACUAAUUGUGAAUUUUAUAUACAUAUAUUACUAUAUUUAAUUAUUAAUGGAGUUAUACAUGUAUUAAAUAAAUGUGCUAUGUCUACAUCCCACUAUCCUAUCUAUAUUGCUAUUAAGAAUUUUAUAGUUUAUCAUACUUAGUACGUAGCAUGGAAAUCAACAUUCGGGACUUUGUCGCCUACAACAGCAGUGUACAUUGAAAGUAAUAUACUUUCCGAGCCUUUGAUGACUCAGUAUCUAGCAACAAGACAUCUGUGUAGGUACUGUGACAAAAGUUUUAAAUACCGAAAACAUGCAAGAAGACAUGAAAAUCAUGUCUGUAGAAGAAACGCUCUAAUCGUGUGACAUUUCCGUGUGACCCAUGUGGUGUACAUUUCAUGAACAAAAUUAAUUUGAUUAGGCACUGUAAAAGGAAAGUUCUUUUGCAAGUUGUACAGCGGGUCAGCGAUGGUAAUUGCGAUGGAUAUCUAUAUCAGUGCUGCUACUGUGGUAAACGAUUUGAACGACUACGAAGUACACACAUCCAUAAAAAUCAUGGCUGCAGAAGAAAUCUUAACCAUGUAAAAUUUCUAUGUGAGAAAUGCGGGGUACAGGUUACACAAAAAUUUUACUUCAAAAACAUUAUAAAUUUUGUAAAGGUAGGUUUCUAGCAUCAACAUCUGUGGCCCUCUAAGGUGUAACACUCCUGAACAGUUGUACCAAGAUCUGUAUGAAUUAUUUGUAUUUUUUCACUCUUAAAAAAGAAAAAUGAAUGUCGAAUGGUCUGAGAUGUGUGUGUGUAUAUAUAUACACACAUACACAUACAGUGUCAGAUUUUACUGUGAGUAAAUGUACAAUUUAAAAUAAAUUAUGACAUUUAAGAAAUGUUUUUAUUUUUCUUAACCGACUUAAUUUUUCUUAAUGUAAUAAACUACAGAUGACAAGUAACUUAGGUGAGGUUGCAGCGUGGGCGAACACUCGUGUUCUACCAAACUGCAAAUCUGGCGGAUGAACAACAGUUAACCCAAGGAAUAAAUAAAAAAUUAAAUAUAUGCGUCAAUAUUACGGAGACAAGAGAGGUAAAUGUAGAUUCAAAUUUCAAUUCUUUAAAUUUCUUUUAUUUACGUAGAGUUCAUGAACAAAGACACUAUAAAGGUUUAUAAUGCGUGGCAUAAGUGCCUCGUACAUCAAACUCAUUUAGAUCAGAACUUAUAAUAAUUACAUUGAUAGCACGUUGCUCGUAUAUAUGAAACACUUAACAAAUUCACUAUAAAUGAAUGCAGUGAUUUAAAUAGUUAACAAGAUAUGUAAAAAAUAUAUAUGAUAUUUAUAUUAAGUGAGUAUAUGUUUCAUAAUCAAGGUGAAGCACCCUAACAGGAACUCAUGCCAAUGAGGCGUACAAAAUGAUCAAGAGAUAGGAACAAUAGUUGCACGAACAUUGUCUACAAUGCUUAUAAUGUUGACUGAUACAAUAAUUUGUUCUUUGACGUAAAUAGUGCAAAGAGACGCAAUAAAUAAAUAUACAUUCGUGCAAAGCGCAUAAAAUAGAGACAUGGAAACAGUCACACAGGGAGAAUCAAAAGCGCUAGAUGGGUUUACAAUAAAUUUACAGCAUGUUUACAAGAUUCAAAUAAUCACGGGGCACACGUAAAAAGUUUAUAACACGUAAAUAACAGAUGUGACGCGUCACGUGUAAGCAAGGCGAGGCCGUCCAGCGUGAUGUGAGGGGAGCGCACAGAGAAGCAGAAAGCAAAGUUAUAGGCCUAGCAAAGUUACGGGGCGAACAACUGUAUUAAAGCUGAUCAGGAACAAACAAGGUUUAAAAGGCCAAUACACUAGCACUAUGAUCAGGAGAUCCAUAAAUGUCAUUAACAAAGAAAUGACAGUAAAAAAUGCAACAAAACUAGGUCGAACAGCAAGGCAAUAUCAAACGAAGGCCUUUCCAAGGAAGCAUCAUGCAGUUAGGCUGCUUACGUUAUUGUUGUCAAAUAGCGGCAUGAAGUUAAGGGCAACAUCGCUGAUACUGACCUAGUGUAAUGUAGACAUGCACACCACAGCUGGACGACCAAGCAUGACCCAGGCAUAGGAACCCCGCUAGUACCUGAAGAGUAGAGUAGAGUGGCUUGAGACCCGGGAAACAGGAGCUUAAAUAGCCAACACAGUGGCGCUGUGCAGUGGCGGAGAGGAGAAACUAAGGGGAAGGAGGGGGAAAGCUACUACGACCGGACAGGAGGAGGGAAAGAGGUAUUGAUUGCUGGCCCAUGUCGACGGGAAAGUGAAGCACAUGCUUCAAGGUCUGCAAUGCACGUUUUGAAUUGUUUUUUUUUCUUUUAUGUUAAUUUUAUUAACAAUAAUUUCUGAAGGUAGUUUUUGCUUACAUAAUUUUUGGCUGAGUGUGUAUUCUGCAUUCUUAAAAUUUUUUAUGGGAGAUUGUUUGGUAAAGUGCUGGUACAGGUAAUACCGUAGCAUUAGAGCAAAUCUGUAAGGAACUUGUUUUAUUAUUUCUGUGAAAUAAUUUAUUACUCCACGAAAUAAAACAAAUAGACCUGUGGGUAAUUCAUGGUCCUAAAAUCAUAACCUGUCAUAUAUUGUUGUACACAAUGGUGGUGAUAUCUAAUAUUAAAAAAAUGUUCAUCAAUUAACCAAACUUGAUGGACCCUAUCAGUAAGAUUCUGAAUACUUGGUAAGCGGUUCUUCGUCAAAGUUACUCACUCCUUCAUUACUUAUUACUAACAAGAAUUUUGUUAACAUGAAAAAAAUGUAUACUGGCAGGUGUCUUGUAAAUGUUUUUGCUGCUUAUAAUUUUCAGAGUGUCAACUUUUUCUGUAUGAUAUGUGGGUUCGAUUUCUCUAGUAUAUGCGCUACAAAUUUUUUUUUUAGCAAGUUAUACAUUCGUAGGCUGAUUUUCUGCUCUGGUUCCGCAUUUUGUACUUUGAACUGAUUCCAUCUAGUACUUUACAUGAGCUUGAUUAUAAUUUCAACUGUGUGUUUCUUUUACGUAAUGGUGUAAUGGCUAGAUGAGUAAUGCUAUGUGUCUCUUGCGACCAUCUGUCUGCCGUGGCAUUCUGCUGGCUUGUGAGUCUCUCCCCGCACGUAAGGGUUCAUUGUUAAUUUGCAGGUGCCGGUAGGUGUGUCUCGUUCGACAGCCUUUGCCUGUAACCUUGGGAAUUUUUAAUAUUCUUUUAGGUUAACGGCUUUAAUUUGGGUACUUUGAUCAGUAUUUUGCGAAUACUUUUACCUUUACAUGUAUUGGUAGUUAUUUUCCUACCUGAGGCAAGAGAAAUACAAAUUUUCUACAAUGCCUGAGAAAGGUAUCUAACAUAUGGUCUUUACCCUCUGGGUCAAUAGCACUUGUCAUGUGUGCUAUCUCCAUCGACCAGCUUUACUUUGUCCUAAAGAUGGUAUACAAUGAAAGACUCUUGUGCUCAAGAAACUAUGGAUGAUGAGGUUCGUAAGAUUAAAUGAAUGGUACUUUGUUUUUUUGUCUAUAUAAUUAGCUGAUUUAAUUGUGUUUGAGAUGUUGUUUUGAAGGAUCAAAUAAUAAUACUGGAAACACUAGCUUUUAUAGAAAAUGAUAAUAUAGCUAUCCAUGGACUUGAAAACAAUAUAGAGUAAUGUGAAACUCUCAGAUCAUAGAUUAUGGUAAAUCUCUGACAGCAAUAUGAUAUUGAUACAGCUCAUGGUAUUAUUGCUGAUAGUUACGAUGAUGAUGACUUUGCGACUGUGAUAGUGACAUGGACUAUGAGAUUUUAAGAAUAACAUAUAUUUAAAGAAGAUGGAAGCAGUAGCACAUAAGACAUAUUGCACAUCGAGAUACAAUCCAAAUGAUUGGUGAAUAGGCUAAAACUUCUACUUGGUUUGUGAAAUGCUGAAAAUUUAUACAUCAUUAAUGAAACAGGAACUAAGAAAUGCAUGGUUUAUAGAAUAAAAACUUUUUUUUAUCUGAUGUAUAUUGUUGGGAAAAAACAUACAAUUUAAAAAUUACUUAUUAAAUAUCAUUAUUACAUAUGUACUUUCAAAUUUUUGGUGCCUACAGUGUUCAUGAAGUAUUUAAAACAUUAGCAUACUUUGUUCUUCGAAUUAACAUGUAUAUUUUACAUUUUAAAAUUUGAAUUUGUUAAAGAUCAAUUACUGAAAUGAUGCGUGUUAUCAAAUAUUAAUCCUACUUUUAUUUGUACUAGACCCUUGAAACGAAAGACUGCAGUAGAUGUUACGAAUGCGAUGGAGUAUAUUUUGAAACAAAAACGUAGAUCAUCAUUAUUGUAGACGGACGACGGGAAAUAUUUUAAUGCAUCAUUCAAGGCAUUGAUGAAAAAGUAUGACACCAAUCACUACUCUAUGUGUAGUGGCGUGAAUGCAUUGAUAGCUGAAUGCGCCAUUCGUACGAUCAAGAAUAAACUGUAUAGAAAUUUUACAGCGAACAGAAAUUACAAGUGGUUGGAUAUCUUGCCGAAAAUUGUGAGCUAGUACCAUUCUAUAGUGCACUAUACAACGAAAAUGAUGUCAAAGGACGUAACAGAAAAUCUUCUGCUUUGAAACGUGUACUCUGAUUUAAAGAGACUGGAUCCUAGAAAGAAGGCCAAUGUGUGCGAUGUUGUGCGCAUAUAUAAAAAUCGAGGAAUAUUCAUAGGCCCUAUAAGGGAAACUGGACUGGUGAAUUAUUUCGUGUUUAUAGAAUAAAGAAUACGUACCCUCGUACAUAUUUUCUGUAUUACUUGAACAGUAAGUACAUUUUUCAAGGAUUCUUGGUCCUCUUGUAAGCGUAAAAACAUGAUCCAUUGGUCUAAGUACUUGUAAUUGAUUUUAUCGAUACUUUAGGUCUGACAGUUCGAAGACUUUGUCUUAACUGGCUAAAAUAUAUCAGUUAUCGACAAAGAUGUGACAGGGGGGUCACAACUGAAAACGAAGAAAAA